CCUACGGGAGGCAGCAGUGGGGAAUAUUGCACAAUGGGGGAAACCCUGAUGCAGCGACGCCGCGUGAGUGAAGAAGUAAUUCGUUAUGUAAAGCUCUAUCAGCAGGGAAGAACAUGACGGUAUCUGAGUUAGAAGACCCGGCUAACUACGCGCCAGCAGCAGCGGUAAUACGUAGGGGGCACGAGUUAUACGGAUUUACUGGGUGUAAAGGGAGCGUAGACGGCAGGGCAAGUCUGGAGUGAAAGGCGGGGGCUCAACCCCCGGACUGCUCUUGAAACUGUACGGCUGGAGUGCAGGAGAGGUAAGUGGAAUUCCUGGUGUAGCGGUGAAAUGCGUAGAUAUUAGGAGGAACACCAGUGGCGAAGGCGGCUGACUGGACUGUAACUGACGGUGAGGCGCGAAAGCGUGGGGAGCAAACAGGAUUAGAUACCCGUGUAGUC
rnacentral:rRNA from 1 species